GCCACUCCUAGCUAUGUAACCAAAUGAAAAGUACACAUGUGCUCCGAGAGACACACACAGGAAUAUUCAGAACCUUUUCUGUAAUAGCUAUAAACUGAAAGCAGCACAUGUCCAACAGGAAAAUGAAUAAACAAAUACAGCAUAUUCAUACAAUAGAAUCCUAUACAGAGCAACUAAAAUAACAGCUAGAGGCAACAACACGGAUGGAUCUUACAAGCCUGAUGUGGAACAAGAGAAGCCCAUUCAGAGACUAAGUGAAUGGAUUUAUGUGGUAUGCAAAAACAGGCAAAACCAAAUUAUAGUGUUUUGGGAGGUAUGCUUACAUAGUAAAGCUCUGAAGGAAAACAAAGAAAAGGCGACUAAAGAGAAUGACAACUUACGCAAUGCAGAAUCCUGGAUUGGAUCCUAGAUCCAAUCAACGUGUAGGGAUGCUGAUCCCACUCCAAGUCUAGAACAUCAUUCACAUCUUGGACAGCAAAUUUCACAUACUGAUGAAGGCGCCGAAUUUCCUAUAAGAAAAAAAUUAAAAGUCAUUCUGCAAAAUCUACAAGUGGAUAGCGCACCACCACUACCUGGGCCCACUGUGUCCCUGCAAGAAAGACAACGUGAAAGAAGGUUCUUGUAUGCAAAGGCAUACCGGUAGUAGAGCCAUCACCACAUCUGGAGACGUUUCCAGGGUCCCAUCUGCAGCAGCAUACACUAUGGCAAAGACGUAGGUACCGAUCCACAGCACAUCCAGAACUGAAAGACACAUCUUAAUCAGUAGCUCAUAAAAAUGACAGCAACCAGAUACAAGAAAAAGCAGCUUAUGUUUGGAAUAGCCACUAUGGAUAAAAAAAAAUCAAAGGCCCUGAUUUCAUUGACUAAAUAUAAU
rnacentral:antisense_RNA from 1 species